rnacentral:lncRNA from 1 species
GAAUGAAAAGCUUCAAACUUGUUCUGUUUUAGUCUAUCUGAGUUUUGCUUUCAGUAACUAAUGUUAUGCUAACGAGCUAAAGAGUAAAGGACUCCUAGCAAAAAUAAAAAGAGUAAAGGAGGGUUUAUACGACUGAUAAUGUAUGUAUGUCGAGUCGUUGGUCGAAUAUCCGGAAUAUUCAUUCUUCACUGUAGUUCACUUUACGCAAAAGAUUGAGGUAAUAUAAUACCAAUGUAAAUGAAUUGUGUAAAUCUAACCUCUUUUAACAAUUUUCACGACAUAUAACAGUUUUCGUCUGGAAAAUGUUUAUGUUUCAACUUGUAAAAAUAUUUCAAUAUUAAUGAUAGUUCCACAAACAUAAGAUUCAGAUCUGACAACAUAUAAUAACAACAUAUUAAUGAAAUGUUGAUUUAAUCGCUAAAUUUUAAAUUUUUAAUAUAUUAUUUAACACAUUAUUGAUUUUUUUAAAUAAAUUAUUAUACUUCUCAAAAUUUCAAAAUUAUUGUUUAGCUUUUACCAUUUCCUUGUUGCUAAAAAAGUAAAAAACUCUGUUUUACAUAUCAAUCAUUUACACAGAUUUUCUAGAAGAAAUGUACAUACAGAGAACCCAGAAAAGCUAAUUAGGAAAAAGUUAUCCACAUAAAAUUUUUAUUUCUUUUUUUACGUCAAAAGAAGAAACAGCAAAAGUUAAUAGGAGCACUGAACUCGAUGAUCUCUGUCUCUAAGAAUCCCAUUGUACAGAGCAAUCCGGUUAGCAGGCAUGUUGUUUCUACAAACUGAACCGGUCUUAUCCGGUUUAAUCACCGGUUCCGGUACGUUUCUCCGUAGACUUUCCCUCUUUCUACGAUACUCUUCACCGUUCCCUUUAGGUUCUUUCACAUUCUCUGCAAAUUUCACCUUCUUAUUCUUCUUCCUCUGUUUCUUUUUUUCCUCUGUAUCAAUGAACAAGAAACUUAGAAACUUUUUUCUAGCCGGAGGAUGGUCAGAAAAGACAAAAAACGUACCUGAACAAAGACAUGGUCGGAGGAUAUGUUGAUCCUGGAUGUCUGAUGGUUGAUUAUUACCACAUAAUUGGCGGGAAAUGGUAAGAAACAGAGCGGUGCUUGAGAAAACCAUGGCG